AUUUUGAGUCUUUGAGAGUUCUGACAAAUGCAGGUGAUACCAUGUCUGUGUAAUCUGGUCCAAAUGUUCUAUAAGCGUAUAAGAGAGAAAUUCCAUUGACAGGGUACAUAUGUUGCAACUGGUUAAUGCAAGUGUUAUACAAAUGUUUAAGUUAUAUGGCCGUACGGGAUCCCUUCUGUAAAAAAAUAAAAAAUAAACCCUUU